rnacentral:rRNA from 1 species
CCUACGGGGGGCAGCAGUGAGGAAUAUUGGUCAAUGGGCGCAAGUCUGAACCAGCCAAGCCGCGUGAAGGAUGACGGCUCUAUGAGUUGUAAACUGCUUUUGUACGAGGGUAAUAUCAGAUACGUGUAUCUGCUUGCAAGUAUCGUACGAAUAAGGAUCGGCUAACUCCGUGCCAGCAGCCGCGGUAAUACGGAGGAUCCGAGCGUUAUCCGGAUUUAUUGGGUUUAAAGGGUGCGUAGGUGGUUUUAUAAGUUAGAGGUGAAAGUUUGGGGCUCAACCGUGGACGUGCCUUUAAUACUGGAUGACUUGAGAAUAGAUGAGGUAGGCGGAAUGUAUGGUGUAGCGGUGAAAUGCGUAGAGAUCAUACAGAACCCCGAUUGCGAAGGCAGCUUACCAAACUAUAUCUGACGUUGAGGCACGAAAGCGUGGGGAGCAAACAGGAUUAGAUACCCGUGUAGUC